rnacentral:misc_RNA from 1 species
AACGCACCUUGCGCUCCUUGGUAUUCCGAGGAGCAUGCCUGUUUGAGUGUCAUUAAAUUCUCAACCUCAUCAGUUUUGUUAUGAGACUCUGUGUGAGGCUUGGAUGUGGGGGUUUCUGCAGGCUGCCUCAGUGCGGUCUGCUCCCCUGAAAUGCAUUAGCGAGUUCACUGAGCUCCGUCUAUUGGUGUGAUAAUUAUCUACGCCGUGGAUUGGGCUUAGACUAGCUUCUAACCGUCCGCAAGGACAAUCUUUGACAAUUUGACCUCAAAUCAGGUAGGACUACCCGCUGAACUUAA